CCUUUAGCUCAUUACCAGGAUCCAAGUCUCAGCUGAAGACUAACGAUGCCCUCUUUAUCAAUCUGGCUGUGUCCAACCUCAUCACCAACUACAUGGUAGAUCUGCCUGACACCAUGGCUGACUUUGCUGGCCGCUGGUUCAUGGGUCUGACCUAUUGCCGAAUCUUCCGGUUCUGUGCUGACCUGUCAGAGACCAGCAGCAUCUUCUCCACCCUCUUCAUCAGUGUGUUCUGGUACCAGAAACUGGUGGGCUCCCUGAAGCGUGGAGGGGCUCCAAUCCGCUUGGACAACCUGCGUCUGGUUGCUGCUCUGUUGGGAGGAAGCUGGAUGGUGGCCAUCGUCUUCAGCAUACCCCAUAUAAUCUUUGUAGGCCUGGAGGAAGGAGAUGAGGCAGACUGCAUAGACAACUUUCCUUCUCCCACUGCCCACCAAAUCUAUGAGAUCCUGUAUCUAAGUUUGGCAAAUGCUCUUCCUAUUGCUGGCAUUGUCUUUGCCAGCAUCCAGAUCGUGGUCACUCUCUUGCAGAAUCAGCAGCGCAUCACAGGAAUAGGAGCUGGAGCAGUUGAGCCAUCACCGGACAAGCCACAACAAGAAGCACCACAUCCGACUGUCCCGGGCCAAGAACCACAGGGCUCCAACUCUCAGGCAGCUCAAGGUUCACUCACCGUUUACAAUGGAGUUCAACCGGGUGCUGUCCAACAGCAACCUCAGGUAACACCCAAAGCACAGGUGAAAAGCAGCCCCGGUCCCAGUGGCCAGGUGCGGGCAGCCAAGAGUGUGGUGGCUGUGGCCUCUGUGUUCCUGGUGUGUUGGCUCACACACCUGCUCCUCCGCAUCACCAGCAGUGUUAAGACAUCGGAGGUGGUGGUGGAGGUGGCCAGUUACAUUGCAGCGUCCUACACCUGCAUCAUCCCCUACAUCUUCCUGUACGGGGUGAAGAAACUCAACUGUACCUGCAGACGGGAAAAAAUGUGCAUAAAUUGCAGUAUGCUCCAGAAUGUGGUUACCAUCACACCUGUAUGGGGAGAAGCUCAUUUCUGCAAAGAGUGUGCUGCAAGAUGGAUCAGAAUUUCUUAGAUUUACUGUGCUUGAG
ensembl:lncRNA